GUGCUCACUUCAGCUGCACAUAUACUAAAGUUGGAAUGAUACAGAGAUUAGCAUGGCCCCUAUACAAGAUGACAUGCAAAUUUGUGAAGUGUUCCAUAUUUAA